CUGGAGUGCCUGCACCCUGCGGUCCCCUACCCGGAACACCUGGGACAGACUGUCUCCAGUACCCGCCAGCAGGGCGCCAGGAAGUCUCCAUACUUGCUGGCUGUCAGGAUCUGACCCCCGGGGUCCCGACUAGGUGCAAAGGGGACGGUGAGAGGCACAGCUGUCUCCCCCAGCCUAAGCUGCUCAAGCUUCGCCCCAGCGCCCAGCCCUGUUUGGCCCCAAGGGUGACCCCCUCUCCCAGUAGCCAGAGCCUGGCAGGGGGAGACCCCAAGAAAUACAUUCUGAAGACUUUCUCAGACCAUCGCACUUCCUCCUGCCUGACCGUCAGAAUGGCUGAGUCUUCUUGACGUCUGUCACUUCAUCACAUCAUGUAUUCACCAAGGUGGCAAAUCCUUGGGCCUUCACAGUACAGCUAGAAGUUGGCCGCCCUGGCUAAGAUGUGUGCUGACUCCUGCCUUCAAGACACCAGCAACCCUGCUCUGCAGAGAAAGGAGAUAAGCCAAGACUUGUCCAGGGGCGGAGAUGAGCAGUGCCAUGAAAGGGGUCAAAUGGGAAGAGCUGCCAUGGGCUGGUGUGUCCGGAGUGUUUGGGAUGGGAAUAGCCGCUGCGCACGGGGCGUCUCCUGGGUACCAUGUGAUGCUCUGAGCUCUCUAAGCUGCUUACUGUUCACAGUAACCCUAGUUAGGCAGGUCACAUAGUAUC
rnacentral:lncRNA from 1 species